UACGUAGGGUGCGAGCGUUAAUCGGAAUUACUGGGCGUAAAGCGUGCGCAGGCGGCUUUGCAAGACAGAGGUGAAAUCCCCGGGCUCAACCUGGGAACUGCCUUUGUGACUGCAAGGCUAGAGUACGGCAGAGGGAGAUGGAAUUCCGCGUGUAGCAGUGAAAUGCGUAGAUAUGCGGAGGAACACCGAUGGCGAAGGCAGCCCCCUGGGCUGACACUGACGCUCAGGCACGAAAGCGUGGGGAGCAAACAGG
rnacentral:rRNA from 1 species